GACGAACGCUGGCGGCGUGCUUAACACAUGCAAGUCGAACGUGAUUUUUGUGGAAAUUCUUUCGGGAAUGGAAAUGAAAUGAAAGUGGCGAACGGGUGAGUAACACGUGAGCAACCUACCUUACACAGGGGGAUAGCCGUUGGAAACGACGAUUAAUACCGCAUGAGACCACAGAAUCGCAUGAUAUAGGGGUCAAAGAUUUAUCGGUGUAAGAAGGGCUCGCGUCUGAUUAGCUAGUUGGAAGGGUAAAGGCCUACCAAGGCGACGAUCAGUAGCCGGUCUGAGAGGAUGAACGGCCACAUUGGAACUGAGACCCGGUCCAAACUCCUACGGGAGGCAGCAGUGGGGAAUAUUGCACAAUGGGGGGAACCCUGAUGCAGCGACGCCGCGUGAGCGAAGAAGGUUUUCGAAUCGUAAAGCUCUGUCCUAUGAGAAGAUAAUGACGGUAUCAUAGGAGGAAGCCCCGGCUAAAUACGUG
rnacentral:rRNA from 1 species